GGAUCAAAGGUCCAUGUAAUGUACCAUUUCUUAUGGAUGUCAUCAUACAUGCCCAAUGAAUUCAUGCCUCUUUCAUAAUUUUCCAGAUGUUCAGAUAUGUUUUCUGAACUUCUAGAAAAUUGUGGGACUGUCUCUUUGAGGAAUUUAAUAACCCUAGGCGUUUCAUAGAAAGGCGUAGUUGAUUUAUGACCGUUUCUAUCUCCCCUGUUAGGUAAACGUCUAUGCGAUCUGGCUGCUGAAGAGGAAUUAGAUCGAUAUAACAGUGCAGAUGGCAUAGCAGUCACAUGGCCUUCAGAGUGGACAGUGCAAUCACUUUCACUCCCAUCACUCUGAGCUUCUCGUUCACUGUCACAAUUCUGAUCGGCAUCAGAGUUCUGGCAGUGUACAAAACCAUGUCUGUUUUCACUCCUAUCACCCUGAACCGGACUCCCUUUCUCAAGCUUGGCCAAGACAGUCUUUUCAAACUGUUCUACCCAAGAUUGCCAGUGUUUAGCAAUAUCAUGAGGUGAGGAAUCCUGUUCCACAGGUGUUUUCUCAGAAUUACUCACAUCUUUUCUUUCAGACUGUUUUAGGAAAACCUGGUCUGGUGUGGGAAAAUCCUAAUAAGGAGGGGAUUUACAGGUAGCCCUUUCUUGCAUUUUUGUGCAAUUUUUUUUGGCAUUCAAUGAUGACGACUAACCUCACUGUCUGAUUUUUGACUCUCCUUUUCGUAUUCUUCCAAUUGUUUUUUAAAGGACCACUCUAGGUACCCAGACCACUUCAGCUUAAUGAAGUGGUCUGGGUGCCAGGUCCCUCUAGGAUUAACC